rnacentral:rRNA from 1 species
UACGAAGGGUGCUAGCGUUGUUCGGAAUCACUGGGCGUAAAGCGCGCGUAGGCGGCUUCUCAAGUCAGGGGUGAAAUCCUUGGGCUCAACCCAAGAAUUGCCUCUGAAACUGCGAAGCUGGAGUCCUGGAGAGGAAGGCGGAAUUCUCGGUGUAGAGGUGAAAUUCGUAGAUAUCGAGAGGAACACCGGUGGCGAAGGCGGCCUUCUGGACAGUGACUGACGCUGAGACGCGAAAGCGUGGGGAGCAAACAGG